AAGCUCUGUCAGAGCUUUUUUUAAUAUCCUAACAAAUCUGAAUUCUUGUUUAUUCAAUAAAAAUAAGCUAUAAUAGAGCGUAGCACUUAAAGUUAGAAAGAAGGUGUAAGU
rnacentral:sRNA from 17 species